UGCAGUCGAGCGGCAGCGGGUACCCUGGGAUGCGGCGAGCGGCGGAGGCGUGAGAAAUGCCUAGGAAUCUGCCUGGUAGUGGGGGAUAACUUAAGAGAGAAAGACUCGAGCUAUUACCGCAUACGUCCUACGGGAGAAAGCGGGGGAUCUUCGGACCUCGCGCUACCACAUGAGCCUAGGUCGGAUUAUUUAGUUGGUGAGGUAAAGGCUCACCAAGGCGACGAUCCGUAGCUGGUCUGAGAGGAUGAUCAGCCACACUGGAACUGAGACACGGUCCAGACUCCUACGGGAGGCAGCAGUGGGGAAUAUUGGACAAUGGGCGAAAGCCUGAUCCAGCCAUGCCGCGUGUGUGAAGAAGGUCUUCGGAUUGUAAAGCACUUUAAGUUGGGAGGAAGGGCAGUAAGCUAAUACCUUGCUGUUUUGACGUGACCGACAGAAUAAGCACCGGCUAACUUCGUGCCAGCAGCCGCGGUAAUACGAAGGGUGCAAGCGUUAAUCGGAAUUACUGGGCGUAAAGCGCGCGUAGGUGGUUUGAUAAGUUGGAUGUGAAAGCCCCGGGCUCAACCUGGGAAUUGCAUCCAAAACUGUCUGACUAGAGUAUGGCAGAGGGUGGUGGAAUUUCCUGUGUAGCGGUGAAAAUGCGUAGAUUUAGGAAAGAAACACCAGUUGGCGAAGGGCGACCACCUGGGCUA
rnacentral:rRNA from 1 species